rnacentral:rRNA from 1 species
CCUACGGGCGGCUGCAGUGGGGGAUAUUGGACAAUGGGGGGAACCCUGAUCCAGCGACGCCGCGUGAGUGAAGAAGUAUUUCGGUAUGUUAAGCUCUGUCAGCAGGGAAGAAAACAAUGACGGUACCUGACCAAGAAGCUCCGGCUAACUACGGGCCAGCAGCCGCGGUAAUCCGUAGGGGGCAAGCGUUAUCCGGAAUUACUGGGUGUAAAGGGAGCGUAGACGGGUGUGUAAGUCUGGAGUGAAAGGCGGGGGGCCAACCACCGGACUGCGCUGGAAACUGGAUGGCUGGAGUGCAGGAGAGGUAAGCGGAAUGCGUGGUGUAGCGGUGAAAUGCGUAGAUAUUAGGAGGAACACCAGUGGCGAAGGCGGCUUACUGGACUGUAACUGACGUUGAGGCUCGAAAGCGUGGGGAGCAAACAGGAUUAGAUACCCCUGUAGUC